ACUUCCCAUUAUAAUUAAGUUAUAAUACAAAUUAUCUUUCAUAAUAUACCAUCUUCCAUUCCUCUUUAUCAUGUUUAGCUUUUGAGAAUUCUAGAUAGAUGUCAAAUGCAUGAGCCUGUAUCAUGAACAUCAAAGUAACUACUCUAGAACCUUGGGUCAGUCACCCUUACAGAAUUAAAAUAGGAAGGAGAAACUAAUGAAAGCCAAGUAUCUGUAUUACCACCCACAGAUCCUAUACAGAUGUAAAGAACAGUGGAUUAAAUACCACACUAGUCUUGGUAUCUAAUAAAACUAGAUGUGGAUGAUUGGUUCUUAUAGCAAGUUGUAUCUGAAACUUACCAAGAGAGAGAGAGAGAGAGAGCCCCCCACAGAACAUAUUUGUAGCAGGAAAGCACUCUUCUUCCUAUGUUGUUUUGACUUUUGUAUGACUUAGUGUACUACCCAUAAUAAAUAUACUACCAGUAUAAUAUGUACUCAUAUAAUUAUAUAGCCAAUAAUUAUAUUAUCAUAACUCUGAAUGUCAGAAGUCUAAUUGGUAUCUUAUCUGGUUACUCAUCCAUACUAUAGACGGCUUUUAUAGAUUGAUGGUUUUAAAUAAAUAAAUAAAUGCUUAGGAAGUAAAUUAUAUUGCCUCUGGGUCAUUUCUGAGAUUGUUUAUAGAUGUUGUGUUUUCUUUCCCAACACAGCCUAUAAUACUUCCAGGUCAAGGAUCUUAAAUGUAAUUAUUCAUAAUAUGUAUAGUAAGAGCUCCCAUCUAUUAUGUUCAAUAAACAACCUGAGAUAUAUUCUAUUAAAAUGCAAGGCUUUAAGUUGUAAACUAUAUUCAGUUAUUAAUGGAAACGGCAUAAGAAUUCCCCUGCCUGCUUGUAUUUGUAAUCUUCUAUUUGAAUACAACUGUCUAACACAGUGUGAGCUCAGGCUGAGCAGACUGUGGCUGAUGUGGGAGGUUUCCUUUUUUCCCUCCUCUCUCUUUUUUUUUUUUUGACCACAGUUGUUUGCUGCAUGCUGGGUGAGGGAAGAAAUGGUGUUGAGUUGAUGUGUGGUGAGAAGGAAGUAAUGAUUUACAAAUAAAUGACAGAAAUGCCUUUCUAACAAAAGAAGUGAACAUCAGACCUGAACUCUCUGACUGGACUUGGCUUAGAUAAGCAGACCAUAGUCCUCCAAUGAAAGUUUGUCAUGAUGAUGUAAUGCUCCUGAGUUGUGCUUCAGCGCAGCAUAUGUGGUCAUCGGGUCUCGUGCCUGUGAGCUAGGUCAAAGGUCACUCUUAGCUCUCAGCUGAAGAGUAGACAUCACUUUCCACUGCAUUUUCAUUGGCUGUACCGGACCAUGAAGUUGGCCAUUUCUCUCCCAUGGUUAAUAGACACUUCUCUCCUCACAUAAAGGUAUUCUCUUCUCUUUAUUCCACAGUUAAUUCAUUGUUCUCUCAAUUUGUUAACAGUGCCAAAUAGUACAUUCUAAAAUAAACCACAUGUAAAUUUAAAAAUAUUAGUCAGCAUACUAUAAAUAUGACUCAUUUCUUUCUUUUUUUCUAACCACAAUUUUGCAUGUAUCACUUUGGUAUAAUAAUUGGUACCCGAAGGGAUUAAGAGAUAAAACUCCAUAUUUCAUUCACAUCCCAUGCUUUGCUUUUUAUAUCGUAAGUGCAGAACAUCGCAAUGUGGCUCAAGAAUGGAGUGAAUGAAUGAGUGAUGCUUUGGAACAACUGAUCCACAAAAGGCAAAGAGCAUGAAUAAGGCGGACAGCCAGGAAAGCAAAAAUGGAUGGCCUGACUUUCUCACAUGGAAUUAUUUGUCCUUGGGACCUUCUUCUGACAUCCUAUGUGUUUAUCAUACAACUGUGGUGCUGCUUGCUGUAGCUCACUCGGCUGAGCUGCCAGUGCCCACAGUGCAGAUCUUGGGAAAGAAGGGGAUCCAGGUGGAGUAAAACACAACUCCUCAUUCUGUAAGGUGGCCUUUGGUGAGGCCUGAAAGGAAUGUGUUGCGCUGAUAUUUGAUCUAGGAAGCCCCUGUGGUCUCAUACUAAGAAAGUUCAAGAAUUUUGUAAGCAAUGCUUUAUAAGGGAGAUAUUGCUUCAUGAACAAUCUGGGGACCCUGAGCCCUGAUUUCACCUUCUUAUGAUUCAUCCUGAAGACUGAGUGGGACGCAGAAAAUAAAUCAAUGUAGAUCUCAUUGUACUCAUGGGAUAGACAGUCACAGGUCAAUCCCACAAUUCCUUUGGACAGAUUCAUGCAAAGAAAAACUAAAGGAAUUGUACGCUGAGUCAGGGAACCCAAAAAAAAUCAGAAAAAAAUCUAUUGUAGUACUCCAUUAAUGUCACAAGUUGGUGUUCAAAGUUAUUCUACCUUUUAAAACUACCUAUUAAAAAAAGAUCUUUGAAAGGGUUACAGUCUUUUAAAGUAUUAUUUAUGUAUUUCACUUUCUAUUUCACCAAAAGGUUGUUUUUAUUAAGUAGCAGCAUCUUUCCCAAAUAGAAAUUAUAUGGGGAUCAGUUGGUUCUUUAUCUGUUUAUACAAUGGACAGUUAGGCAUAUAGGGAGCAUCAUUAGAAGAAAAGAAUGAAAGGAGGCAAAGAAAUUAGGAGUUAGCUAUGCCUCCCUCUGUGUGAAUAUUGAGGAUAGCAUACUCCCCAAAUGCAUAGAAAUGUGGGUAUGGGAGCAGAGAUGAAGAGGGUAAGAGUUUAAGGCCAUGUUGGUGAAUUAUAAUUCCCCAGUGAAGGUCCAUGGGCCAAGCACAAGAUAAGAUAUUCAGGACAUAAGAACUGUGCCUUGCAUCUCAAUUCCAAAUUCAACUUACAUUGAAUUUGAAAGCUGGAAGAAUAGGCUAAGUGUUGGUCAAACCUUGCAAAGCACAACUAUGACAAAAAGAAGCAUAACAAUAACAUUAUAGAUGAAUAUGCCAAGAUGGCUCCAGUUUAUGCCUCUUAUCUUCAUAUGAUUACCAAUAAUACGUAUGGUCCACCUCAAAAAACUGUCCUGGCUGGGAUUUUAAAAAUGGGUUGCAAUUACAAUAUUUAAAAUGUGAGGUAAAGGAGGAGUACCAUAAGAACAGGCAAGAAAGUUAAUGACCUGGAGGACUGAAAGCGAGUGGCCAUGGUAAUGAAGAACACCAAGUAGCACUCACUGUUCCUGUUCCUUUAACCCUCACCUUCCAUGGAAAAGUGUCUUUUUUCCUUUUGCUAGGUGUCUGUAUGAGUCAGUAAACUGAUAGCCAUCUGUUUUCUCCAAGUCAAGGGGCAGCCAUGUGGUCAGCAAAUCAAAGAUGUGUUCUCUUCUGGAACUUAUCCACUUGAACAGAAUGAUGAGGAAAGAGAAGACAGAAAAGCUUGGAGAUCAUUAAACCUAGUAGGGAUGAUUGACAGUGCCAUUCAUUGAACCUGCAAUGGAGACCCCAAAACCUCAUGUCUCUUGUCACUCCUGAGUCAAUUUCUCCAGCCUUCCGUGAAUUCUCUGAGUUUUCCUACAGGCUUCCCAUGAGGAUCUUUUAAGCUUAUACUAGCCAGAGUCCAGGUUCUACUGUUCACAAUCAGAGAAACCACACUGAUUGUUCCAUCAAUAUGCUGUGUUUCUGUACGGAGGCGAAGUAAGGGAACAUGAGCAACCAGCAUUUUGCGUCUUAAACCAUCUCUUUAGUAAGUAAACUUCAGCUAACCUCCCUCUCCCACUUUAAUGGCGUUCUUGAGAUUCUGUUUCUACUGCAUUGCUUAUUUUCCAAUCAUCAUGAACACAUCAUCACCCAGAAUUGGUGUUGCUUUGUGAACGAUAACUGUUUAUAUGAUGAAAUCCACAGGUGUCACUUCCGUGGACACUCGCCUAGCUCCAAUUUCGGUUUCCUUCCGUCUUCUGAUGGGUCUAGUGCUGGGAACCAGGUGUUACAGGGGCAGCAGGGAAGCAAAAUCUAACAUUUAAUUUCAAACAAACCAAACUAAACCUAUCUAUCAUUUACAGAUAGACUUUUUCUUGGAGGUUAUGUGUCAGUGGCCUCAGUAUGUGAGGGUGAGCAGAAGUCAAUCUCUAUUUGGGCAUUGUUCUCCUUUAAACCAUUCGAGGGUUGGAGUGAAGCCUCUGCAGUUAGACCCGGGCUGGAGGGUGAGGGCGGUCAUCUCACUCUUCCUUCAGGUAGGGGAAGAAAUAAAGACUGGUGAGGGCAAGGUUUCACCCUGCGAUUGGUUGGAUUUUGAUGCAGCUUGCACUCGUGUGUCCUGAAAUAUGGUUUGCAGAAGUCUCUACAGACGCUUCCUGCUGCAGUUCUUGAAAGGCAGGAACAAAUUUAAACUGGGUUUUGUGAAAACAAAUGACAUCAUCCCUGAAUACUCGAAAAAGCUGCAGCCCCAAUGGAGCAUCCUCCCCGCCCCCACCCCCAUUUCCUCCCUUGCUCUUUAUAUUUCUAAGUGCAGGACUUCAGAUUUUUAAUGCUGCACGGUUAACUGGUUAAAUCUUACAGGGAAUAACCUGUCAUCACUUGCCUGUAAAAACAAUAAAAUUCAAGAAGAAAACAGAGAAGCAUGUAAAAGUUCAUUUGAAAAUUACAUU